rnacentral:rRNA from 1 species
CCCUGCCCUUUGUACACACCGCCCGUCGCUACUACCGAUUGAAUGGCUUAGUGAGCCCUCCGGAUUGGGAGCCCGGUGCCGGCAACGGCACUGAGCUCUUGAGAAGUUGGGCAAACUUGGUCAUUUAGAGG